AAGACGGAAACGUUGAAUUAUAAGUAUAACCGUAAGGUCAGGAAUAUGAAACAAGUUAAGACCAAACUACAAGUUUAUAAAAGGUUAAUAGAUAUUUUUACACAUCAGUUCAAACAUUUGUUUGCCUAUGUGAGCUUUACAAUAUGAGAAACAUUACAAACAAAAACACAACAAAAAACAUCAAUAUCGUAGUCAUUAUUUAGAUCAUUUUGAUAAUGAUUGGAUUUUUAAAGAAAGCCCAUAGAGCCCGUCUUUACUGUAAGACCAGGCGUGAUGGUAAACACAUGGUGACUCGUUCAAACUUAACUUUAUUUAACUGAACCUCAAUAUCGCUGCUGCAGGUCUUCUUCUUCUAGCAUUAUUAUGGUGGCAUCUAUCCAAUUCUUGCAUAUUUGAGUAUUGGCCUUGGUUUAAAAACCUGCUUGUCACCCUAGUAGCCCCACUGGGAAACGUGCCACAGCGCCCGCACAGACUUGAACGGGUCGGUUUGGGCGGCACUUAAACCAAACAGCGUGUACCAGGAGCAUCAUAAGCAAUGGGCACUAAAACGAAAGAGCUGAAGGCAGUGUUACAAAGAUCCCCCAUCCGUUUCCGUGGAAACAGAGGAGACCUGCCCACCUGCACCGAAGAUUCAUCUGGAAGGGAGGAAGCAAAAAUAGCUCCGGAGGCCGGUGACGGGGGGAAACGGGAGCCCGAGGCGGAGCCGGCUCGGCCCGUCCUCGAGAGGCCUCCUGCCGCAACCGAGAGCCCGGAGAGGAAGGCCGCUUUUCCCGCCACGUGGGAGAAGAAGAGCCCGGUCGCUCCGCCGUCGCCGCAAACUUUCGAAAAGCCGACGCCGGGCGAAAAGAGCCCGAGCGCAACGCAAACCCGAUCGCCGGAACACCCCAGGGUGAGCCCCCUGUCCCACAAGAGGCAGAGCCCCGGCACGUCACCGGCCACGGCUGACGCGGGGGGGAGGACGCGCAGUCUCUAAACCGCACACGAUGAAGGCCGAGCCGGCAGACCAAAGAACUGAGCCGCCUCCGUCUGAAUAGCGAGCGCACAGGAGGAGCCACAGGUCUGUGAACGCGGGCGGGAUUGCGACGUUGGGCGGGUGCACUUGAUCCCAGCCAUGUUGGUCAUCUGUUUUUUUUUGGGGAACUUAAAGCCGGGUCAUUGAACCGCUCACUAACACCACCGACUGCCGAGGACGCUGGCAUGCAGGACCACAAGGCGGCUUGGAAGUUGUGCGCACAAACGGGCUUUGUCGUGAUACUUUCGUCCGUUGGCUGUGGAUUACUGCGCUCACGCUGGUCCCGAUCCAUGUACUGUAACAGCGUUUGUGCUACGAGCCAUGCCAUCUCUGGUAGGACAGACCAUGUGACAGGAAGUAGUCUUUGCCACGUUCACGUCAGCCCACUGAGUAACACGUGUGAUGAAGGGAAGCCAUGUUUUUCUUCUUCAUCCUGACGUGGUUUUGAGCUGGAACACAAAUCAGAACCACUUCAAUGAUAAAAAGGCAUGAUAUAAAAUAUCAGAAUGUGAUUGACAAACAUAUUACAGUGUUAGAAGGUGUUUAAUAUCCCUUCUCUUGCCACCCUAUCCCCGUCCAUCUUUAAACCACAGGUGAGAUGGGUUGGCAGGGGGCAGAAAACCGAUGAAUUGGCCAUUUCUGUUUAUGGACCAGGUCCAUUGGCUCCAUCAAGCUCACGGGGAGAGAUGUAACUGUACGUCAGGACCUCAGUAGUUCACCAUGACAAUUCCCUGUUAUUGUUUAAGAUCAUUCUUUAUAUUCCGUUGAGAGAAAAAAAAUAGACAAACGAAACAACGAUACGUGUCUUAUGCCACUUUCUUUAUAGAAGGGCCAACAACUAAACGCAAGGUCCAGUUCAGUCAGUCGGUAUAUGAUCGGUUCAAGAGCCUCGUCACCAUAUUUGGCUCAGUUGUUUUCUCCGGCAGGGGAAUUAUUCAUUCAGCGGAACAGCACAAGACCUUCGACUUUAUAAAGAAAUCGUAAGGUGGUAACUGGGAGGUUUGAAACCAGGCAAAUGUCCGGCUGUGUAAAGCUUAGUUUUUCAUACAAAUUAUGCUCUUGCUAUAAAAAAUGGAAAUGAACACAACAUCUUUAUAAAAAAAUAUAGUUUAUCCAAUGAAAGAAAAUAUGUCAAAACGUGUUUAUUUUCUCACAAUUUGUAUACAUUGAAGAUGAUGUCAAAACACAACCUUUGGUCCCGUUAUGCCAUCCAUGCGAUGAAAAUAUGUCCUGACUUGUUAAGAUGUCUUUAUAUCCACCUUUUUACAAUCUCACAGGGGUCACUAGAGUUCUGCAUGCAUCUGUUGACUCACAUCAGCGUGUGGCAUUCAACUCGAUUUAGGUUCCACCCUCCAUCAAACAACCACACACGUAAUCGUCCCAUCGCGCGACGCCGUAUGACCACACGACGAUGUGCGACAGCGGCAGUGUGUUCGCUCCAUCGAACUCUCAGGGCGGCUGUGAUGAACCUGAGCCUCCGUCUCAUCUCGGGGGAAGAGUUUACUUCCACCCCCCACGUUGCUCUCGGCCUUGCACGCACAGUAUAUGUACAAAGCUACAUGAAGCAAAUAGAAACAGAGCUAUGAACAGAGUGUAAAUCCAUAUCUAUACAUGUUAAUGAUUAAAACGAUUACGUUGUGUCAUGAUCUCGUUGCCUCUUGUUUUGUUUAACGUGUUCCGUCGCUCCUGAAAGUUGAGACGAUGAUCCUCAACUGAUCGGGGUUGCAUUCGAUGCAGACCUUUAUGGAUGUUCAGGAUGUAGUUCCUGGUCCUACAUUUUAUUAGACCGCGGUGACAUAUUAUGCAAAACCUACUCUUAGGUUAGGUCAGCGGUUCCCAAACUUUUUUUCCUGCGCACCCCCUUCCAUGUCUCA
ensembl:lncRNA